AUGUUCACUGUUAUAUUCAUGUGUCUGUGGCUUUCACUAGGUGACUCCAUGGCAGAUUCAAUACAGCCACUUUCCCCUCGUGAAGUUGUAGAUGAAGGUGUUGAUGUUACUCUGUCCUGCAACUACAGUGUUUCAGUAGACGCCCUGCAGUGGUACAGACAAUAUCCAAAAUCUAAACCUGAGUUCCUUCUUUUCAUCACUCCAAGUGGAUUUAAAACUGACCCUCUUCCACCACAUCUGUUUCCUAAAGUUGAUGAUAAAAAUAAACGAGUGGAUCUGCUCAUCUCCUCUGCUGCUGUAUCAGACUCUGCACUAUACUACUGUGCUCUG